rnacentral:rRNA from 1 species
UUGGAACUUUCAGGCUUGAGAUAGUUAGAGGCAAGUGGAAUUCCUGGUGUAGAAGUGAAAUUCGUAGAUAUCAGGAGGAACACCAGUGGCGAAGGCGACUUGCUGGAGCUAGUCUGACGCUGAGGUGCGAAAGCGUAGGUAGCAAACAGGAUUAGAUACCCUGGUAGUCUACGCCCUAAACAAUGAGUGUCAGCUGUAUGUGGCUUCGAAUCCACAUGUGGCGCAGCUAACGCGAUGAACACUCCGCCUGGGAAGUACGGUCGCAAGACUAAAACUCAAAGGAAUUGACGGGGACCCGCACAAGCGGUGGAACAUGUGGUUUAAUUCGAAGCAACGCGAAGAACCUUACCUGGAUUUGACAUCCUUGAAAAGCAAUAGAGAUAUUGCCUUCCUUUCGAGGAUCAAGUGACAGGUGCUGCAUGGCUGUCGUCAGCUCGUGUCGUGAGAUGUUGGGUUAAGUCCCGCAACGAGCGCAACCCUUACCCUUAAUUGCCAGCGAUUCGGUCGGGAACUUUAAGGGGACUGCCGGUGUCAAGCCGGAGGAAGGUGGGGAUGACGUCAAGUCCUCAUGGCCUUUAUGUCCAGGGCUACACACGUGUUACAAUGGCAAGUACAGAGAGACGCUUGAUCGUGAGAUAGGGCAAAUCUUAAAAACUUGUCUCAGUUCGGAUUGCAGUCUGCAACUCGACUGCAUGAAGUUGGAAUCGCUAGUAAUCGCAAAUCAGCAUGUUGCGGUGAAUCCGUUCCCGGGUCUUGUACACACCGCCCGUCACACCAUGGGUGUUGACUUCAGCAGAAGACGCCGAGUUAACCGAAAGGAAAUAAGCGUCCAAGCUGGUGUUAAUGACUGGGGUGAAGUCGUAACAAGGUAAC